rnacentral:rRNA from 1 species
UACGGAGGGUGCAAGCGUUAAUCGGAAUCACUGGGCGUAAAGCGCGCGUAGGUGGCUAUUUAAGUCAGAUGUGAAAGCCCUGGGCUCAACCUGGGAAUGGCAUUUGAUACUGGAUAGCUAGAGUAUGGUAGAGGUGAGUGGAAUUUCAGGUGUAGCGGUGAAAUGCGUAGAGAUCUGAAGGAACAUCAGUGGCGAAGGCGACUCACUGGGCAUUACCUGACGCUGAGGAGCGACAGCAUGGGGAGCGAACAGG